rnacentral:rRNA from 1 species
UACGGAGGAUCCGAGCGUUAUCCGGAUUUAUUGGGUUUAAAGGGUGCGUAGGUGGAUUGGUAAGUCAGUGGUGAAAGUUUGCAGCUUAACUGUAAAAUUGCCGUUGAAACUGCCGGUCUUGAGUGCAAAUGAGGUAGGCGGAAUGCGUCGUGUAGCGGUGAAAUGCUUAGAUAUGACGCGGAACUCCGAUUGCGAAGGCAGCUUACUGGGAUGCAACUGACGCUGAGGCACGAAAGCGUGGGUAUCAAACAGGAUUAGAUACCCU